GAUCAAACUCUCAGGAGAUCAUUAAUCUUAUUCACCCUAAGGGGUUUCUCCGUGGACGUAGGACAUUAGUGCCGAACCACGUAAUAUCGGAUAAUCUCUCUCGGGGAAACUUUGGUGCUGUUAAGGUUCUUCAGGAGCAAUUCCCCGAACCUGGAAGGCUGCAUUUCAUAUACGCUCCUUAAUCUUCCAGUCUUGAACCUGGUGUUGAUAGUUUUUUGGCCAUUAUGUAUGCGUAAAAUGUGAUUGUUUCCUUAAUAAUUGGUUCAGGUAUUAUCAGAACAUAACAUCGAACACCCUAGUAGUACUAGAGGCAAUGGAAGCACACGGGGUGAAGACGUUAAUUUAUUCGAGUACAUGUGCAACACAUGGCAAGCCAUUGAAAAUGCUUAUUAGUUAUUACAGAAGAUACUCAGGAUAAUCUCUGUCGGGGAAACUUCUGUGCUGUUAAGGUUCUCCAGGAGCAAUUACCUGAACCUGGAAGGCUACAACUCGUAUACAUAACAUAGAACACCUGGUAGUACUAGAGGCAAUAGCAGCACUAUUCGAGUACAUGUGCGAUGUACGGUGAGCCAUUGAAAAUGCCUAUUACAGAAGAUACUCCUUAGGUGAGAGAAACUCAAUCAUGAGUGCUUGUGUAUGGUGCAUUUUUUCAAGGCUGCAAGAGAUAUUAUCAUGAAAUUUCAAUGUAAUCUUGAAGUAUAGUUUUUUCCGUUCUGAUAUAACUUGUUUAUAGUGUAGAUUCCAGUAAAUCCCUAUG